AUAAAAAAACAUUUAAUUAUUAUUAUAUAUAUAUUAUAUAUAUA
rnacentral:sRNA from 1 species